CUUGUUCUGCCACCGCGAAUUGCUCCCGUUUUCGUCCGCCGUCACGUUCCUCUCAAACCUAACUGCUGCCACCGCAUUCUGUCUGCCCCUCUCCGUUCGCGCGUCCAGAAUCAUCGCCACCUACAGAUCCGCCAGCCGUCGAGGUUUGUGUUAGAGGUAAGGGUAUCAUACGAGGCAGACCGACGAGGGGCAAGAAGGAUAUGUGAAGGCCAUACGGGAAUGUCGAGUUUUAUUGCUUCCGCUAAAUGUCUUUGUUAUUUUCGUUUUGAAGAUUUUAAAUUUAAGUUUUGGUUAGAACAUUUAUUCAUUUGUUUCAUUUGAAAUUUCGUAGUCUAUGUUUUGAAACUUUUGAAAUUGAUUUGAAUUAGGGCCCGAAGACAAUUUUUUUAUAUCUUGAGUUUUAAUGAAAUUUGAAUAGGGUCUUUAUUGAGUUUU